GCCCCCGUAGCUCAACGGACAGAGCGCCUGCCUUCUAAGCAGUAGGUUGAAGGUUCGAUUCCUUCCGAGGGCA
rnacentral:tRNA from 1 species